GACGAACGCUGGCGGCGUGCCUAAUACAUGUAAGUAGAACCCAGUUUCGAACGGGUGAGUAACACGUAUGUAACUGCCUCAUAGCGGGGGAUAACUAUUGGAAACAAUAGCUAAUACCGCAUACUUUGAGAUGGACAUGCGUUUUAUUAGCUAGUUUGUGAGGUAAAGGUCAACCAAGGCGACGAUACAUAGCCGACCUGAGAGGGGUAUCGGACACACUGGUAAUGGGACACGGCUCAGACUCCUACGGGAGGAAGCAGUAGGGAAUCUUUGGCAGUGGACGGAAGUCGGACCGAGCAACGCCGCGUGAGUGAAGAAGGUUUUCGGAUCGUAGAGAGCUGUUGUUAGAGAAGCGGUAACUAACCAGAAAGUGACGGCUAACUACGUGCCAGAAGCCGAGGUAAUUC
rnacentral:rRNA from 1 species